UUUGGGUAUUGAAUUGGACAAGAUGUUGAUAUUACAGUAGAUUUGGUAUAUAUACAGGUAACUCCCAUAAUAUACAAACAGAAUGUCUCCAGACUCUCCACCAGUGAUGUAUUUUAAAGUGUGGCCAAAAAGGGGGG